rnacentral:rRNA from 1 species
CCUACGGGAGGCAGCAGUGGGGAAUUUUGGACAAUGGGCGCAAGCCUGAUCCAGCCAUGCCGCGUGCAGGAUGAAGGCCUUCGGGUUGUAAACUGCUUUUGUACGGAACGAAAAGGUUCUUUCUAAUAAAGAGAGCUCAUGACGGUACCGUAAGAAUAAGCACCGGCUAACUACGUGCCAGCAGCCGCGGUAAUACGUAGGGUGCAAGCGUUAAUCGGAAUUACUGGGCGUAAAGCGUGCGCAGGCGGUUAUGUAAGACAGUUGUGAAAUCCCCGGGCUCAACCUGGGAACUGCAUCUGUGACUGCAUAGCUAGAGUACGGUAGAGGGGGAUGGAAUUCCGCGUGUAGCAGUGAAAUGCGUAGAUAUGCGGAGGAACACCGAUGGCGAAGGCAAUCCCCUGGACCUGUACUGACGCUCAUGCACGAAAGCGUGGGGAGCAAACAGGAUUAGAUACCCUGGUAGUCCACGCCCUAAACGAUGUCAACUGGUUGUUGGGUCUUCACUGACUCAGUAACGAAGCUAACGCGUGAAGUUGACCGCCUGGGGAGUACGGCCGCAAGGUUGAAACGUCAAAGGAAUUGACGG